CGUGCACAAAGAAAUUUAAAAAUAUAAAGAAUUUAAAGAUAAUAAGAAACAUGUCAGAUUGUGAAAACUACGAAUAUUUAGACGAAGCAGGAGAAUUUGAUACAGAAAAUAUUGAUAAAUAUUAAUAUUAGAAGUGCAAGAGAGGCCGUGUUUAUGGGAUCAUAGAUUAGAUAUAAAAAUGAGAGGAAUGAAUACAAUUCGAAAAUCAUGGGAAAAAGUUGGUAAAGCCGUCAAUGCAGAUUCAAAAAUUUUCCAAAAAAAUAGCAAAAUUUACGUGAUACAUUUUUGAGGAAAUAUAAAAAUGAGAGAAGUUAUAUUGCAAGUGGUAGUGCAGCCACAAAGAAAAUAACAAAUUGGAAAUAUCAUAAACAAAUGCAAUUUUUAAAACCGAUCACAGAACACAGAAGAACAUUCAGCAAUAUACAAGUGAUUACAGAUUUAAAUAAAUUUAAAUGUUAUUCAAAAUCGAAUGCAGACAAAAGCUAUAUAGAAGAGAUAUGUAUAGAAAGCAGAUCUCCAACAUUAUUAAAAAAUAGAGAUAGAAAUUAAUGUAUCAGUACAUUAGCAUGGUCAUCAAAAACUAAAAUUGCGCAAUGUGAGACUUUUUUCCUUCAUCGCCAUCCAGUCGAAGUUCAACUCCUUUGUUGUCUGCAAGCAACUCACAGAAAAGGAAGAAAUCGGAUGCUUUCAAAAAGUCGUCUACAGAACAAUCUGAUAGAUUCAAAGAGUUUAUUAUGGGACAAGUUGCACAACCCCAAAGUAAAGCAGCUGCAUUUUGUAAUUUUAUUAAAACACGUUUAAAAAAAUUUAACAGACAAUUUUAUUUAGAAGCAACGCAUAAUAUUAUGAGUGAGUUUAUAAAACUGGAAAAAAAGCUGAAGAACAUCAAAAAUAAAUAUUUAAUAUUUUUUCAUAUAUUUUAAAACAGUA